rnacentral:misc_RNA from 1 species
AAGUCGUAACAAGGUAACCGUAGGUGAACCUGCGGAAGGAUCAUUAAAAAUACCAAAUAUUUUUAUACACCUUCAAAUUUUAUUGAUACUAUUCUUUAUUUCAUUCGAAAUAAAAAUAAAUAAUCUUAAUAUAACUUUUAACAAUGGAUCUCUUGGCUCUC